rnacentral:rRNA from 1 species
UACAGAGGUCUCAAGCGUUGUCCGGAUUUAUUGGGCGUAAAGAGCUCGUAGGUGGUUCGGUAAGUCGGAUGUGAAAUCUCCAGGCUCAACCUGGAGGGGUCAUUCGAUACUGCCGUGACUAGAGGUCGGUAGGGGAGUGUGGAAUUCCUGGUGGAGCGGUGAAAUGCGCAGAUAUCAGGAGGAACACCCGUAGCGAAGGCGGCACUCUGGGCCGAUACUGACACUGAGGAGCGAAAGCGUGGGGAGCGAACAGG